UGCCUUAUCAAAUCCGCAUUUAAUGACUAUAUUGGAUGUGUCUGCUUGCAGACUAUGGUGAUAAAUGGACUCCGUAAUAAGCCAGCUGGACCCGGGGGCAGUACCCGGCGCCUCCACCAGAACCCGUUUUAGUGCGUGCUACGCACAAGGGAAUACGGGUUGUGGCGGGGGCGAAACAGGAUCGACAGGGGUGUAAAAGUUGCUCUUUUGCCCGGCAUGAUACCACCGAUAUCGGGUCAAACUUGUAGUUGCAAAUGACAACUAUGCUCCGGAAGCUGUCGCAGCGUAAGCUGUGCUGGUAACCGAAAUAAAGCCCUGAGGGUUAGCCCCUUCAGGCGGGGCCCGGAGGCGCCUGGCAACAGAAGCCUCCACU
rnacentral:tmRNA from 1 species